UUAGAAAGAAUGGUCAUCGCUUCCAUGC
rnacentral:piRNA from 1 species